rnacentral:rRNA from 1 species
GUGAGGAAUAUUGGUCAAUGGACGGAAGUCUGAACCAGCCAUGCCGCGUGCAGGAAUAAGGUCCUAUGGAUUGUAAACUGCUUUUAUUCGGGAAUAAACCUCUUUACGUGUAGGGAGCUGAAGGUACCGAAGGAAUAAGCACCGGCUAACUCCGUGCCAGCAGCCGCGGUAAUACGGAGGGUGCAAGCGUUAUCCGGAAUCAUUGGGGUUAAAGGGUCCGCAGGCGGGCUAUCAAGUCAGAGGUGAAAUCCCACAGCUUAACUGUGGAACUGCCUUUGAAACUGAUGGUCUUGAAUUAAGUGGGCGUUGGCGGAAUAUGACAUGUAGCGGUGAAAUGCAUAGAUAUGUCAUGGAACACCGAAAGCGAAGGCAGCUAACGAUACUUAUAUUGACGCUCAUGGACGAAAGCGUGGGUAGCGAACAGGAUUAGAUACCCUGGUAGUCC